rnacentral:rRNA from 1 species
UACGGAGGUGCCAAGCGUUGUCCGGAUUUACUGGGCGUAAAGAGCGCGCAGGCGGUCGAUCAAGUCGAGUGUGAAAGCCCCCGGCUCAACUGGGGAGGGUCAUUCGAUACUGAUCGACUCGAAGGCAGGAGAGGGUAGUGGAAUUCCCGGUGUAGUGGUGAAAUGCGUAGAUAUCGAGAGGAACACCUGCGGCGAAGGCGGGUUGCUGGGCUGACACUGACGCUGAAGCGCGAAAGCUAGGGGAGCGAACGGG